rnacentral:tRNA from 1 species
GGUGGGUUGCCCGAGCGGCCAAAGGGAUCUGACUGUAAAUCAGACGCGCAAGCUUCGGGGGUUCAAAUCCCUCACCCACCACAA